CACCCUUCCACACAGUCUUGCAACACACUCCACGCAUAUCCAUUGCAGUACUCUAUUUCAAAGCAAUUCCUUCAAAGCAACUUAUGUAAGCCUGUAAAAUUGAAGAAGAUUUGAAGGGAACUUCUGAAAUGAGGAGAAGUCUGGUACUUUGACCUACCAAACCUUUUAAGGAUAAUUUUUGAAUCCAGAUUUAAUUCUUAGGAGUUGCUUGCUCAGAGGUGAAGAUUUAAGCUAAGUAAAAGUCUUGCAUGAAGAAAAGUACUGGAGAACCUGAAAGCUUGCAUACUUUUUAAGAUAUCUGAAAUUGUCGUAAUAAAGGUAUUGUUUUAUUUUUAAAUGUAUUAAUUCAUCUGUUCGUGCUUAGUUUUCAUCUUUGAUUUACUGUAAUUAUAUUCACCAUCUCAGUCUUCGAGUUCUACUAAUAUUGUGUAUAAUUGUUAUGAUUUUCCCUUAUAAUUUCAUAUAUGUCAAUAUAUGUAUGGUAAUAUUCUGCUAAUUGCUUCUCUUCCCAUGCAAAAAAAUGCUUACACUUUUCAUCAAAAUGUUAGUAUUAUUACAAUAUUUGCUCUCUUUUCCUGCAGUUUAUAAUCAACCCUGUUCCUUCCCUAUAUGUUGUUUUGUCACAAACGGCAGCUCUAUCCAAUCCUCUUAUUGGGAAGAAUUUGUACUAUCAACUAUUUCUCUAAACUAUUUUUUUUUUCAAACUUGGCUUUAAAAUGUAUGGAUUCUGGGUCCAUAGCCAGAGAAUGGUAUGGAGGACACUGCUGUAAACCAAGGGCUGUGUGUAUUGCACUUGGCAUUUAGAAAGCAAAAUCUCUUUAAAGAAUGGAAAAGAGAUGUUAUUCUACCUCAAACUGUGUGAAGAAUAAAUUUAUCUGCUGUGUAAUUUUGUGAUUAGCAGAAAUCCAUUUAAUUUCAGUACAGAAAAAAACAGCCAUAUCUUUCUAACAAUUAGGACAACUUCCUAGCUACGGUUUCUGAUUGACAAGCUGAUUGAACUCUAGCUGAAAGUUGGAAUGCCAACUCAUUAUGAGUUAAAAGUUAACAGUGAGAGGAUUUCCAUUUCAUGAGGACUACAACUGAUCCAAGUGAUGUUUUAAAUGUACAGGCUUAAGUCAACAGUUGCAGGAAAAGUUCAAGAUCCUGAAACUCAAUUAAUUUUGUAAUAGAGGGAUUUCCAAAUGGCUGGGAGCAAUCCUUUUUCAAAAAGUUAUGCAAUAUUUUCAAGAUAAGAAUUUAAGUGUUUCAGCAAAAAGAAGCAAGAAAGCAAACACUACAGUCUUUACAAGCUGCAUGCUUUCUUUCACCAUACUAUCAUGGUGAAAGGGUGCGUCAGUUGCUAAUAAGAUGGUAUCAGUGAUAUGGUAAUUGGUACCAAGGAAUCUCCUAUGCCUUGUAGAGUUGUGAAGAGAAUGUUGGCCAUACUUGUCAUCUGGGAGACAGAAAAACUCUACUUGUAUAAUCUCAACUACAUAUUUCUUAAUAGGAGAGGAACUAACCACAGUUAUUUUCCCCCCUCUGACUCUUUAUGCCUUUUGUCUUAUCCAUAUCAUUCCUCAUGGCAGGGCAGGAUAUUGAAUCUGUUAUUUUUGGCCCUUGUGCUUUAAGGGUAGAAAACUACCCUAUUUCCCUGAAAAUAAGAUCUCCCCAGAUAAUAAGCCCAAUUGGGCUUUUGAGC